UUAUAAGUAAAACUUUGCAUUUUAGAUUUAUUCAGUUAAUGAUGUAUAUGGUCUUUAUUAUAGACCAUAUACAUCAUUUAAUGAAUGAAUCUAAAAUGCAAAGUUUUGCUUAUAA
rfam:Medicago truncatula strain A17 chromosome 8, whole genome shotgun sequence.